rnacentral:rRNA from 1 species
AUGCCCAUCUACCACCCGAAUUCUGGGUUGAGGCACUCCAUGUUGCCACCCAUGUCCUCAACCGGCGCCCGUCGUCCGCUAUCCAACAUCAAACACCUCACUUCCGUCUACAAGGACGUCACCCCACCUACGACCAUCUUCGGGUGUUCGGCUGCCUGUGUUUUCCCAACACAUACUCCACUAGCCCGCACAAGCUUGCCCCCCGCGCCGUUCGUUGCGUUUUUCUCGGCUAUGCCCUCGAACACAAGGGCUAUCGCUGCCUUGACCUUGCCUCGCGGCGCGUCAUAA